rnacentral:rRNA from 1 species
UACGUAGGGCGCAAGCGUUGUCCGGAAUUAUUGGGCGUAAAGAGCUUGUAGGCGGCUUGUCACGUCGGGUGUGAAAGACCGGGGCUUAACCCCGGUUCUGCAUUCGAUACGGGCUGGCUAGAGUGUGGUAGGGGAGAUCGGAAUUCCUGGUGUAGCGGUGAAAUGCGCAGAUAUCAGGAGGAACACCGGUGGCGAAGGCGCCACUCUGGGCCGAAACUGACGCUGAGGAGCGAAAGCGUGGGUAGCAAACAGG